rnacentral:snRNA from 1 species
AUUCCCACUGUCCCUGUCUACU